rnacentral:rRNA from 1 species
AUACGUAGGGGGCGAGCGUUGUCCGGAAUGAUUGGGCGUAAAGGGCGCGUAGGCGGCCCGGUAAGUCUGGAGUGAAAGUCCUGUUUUUAAGAUGGGAAUUGCUUUGGAUACUGUCGGGCUUGAGUGCAGGAGAGGUAAGUGGAAUUCCCAGUGUAGCGGUGAAAUGCGUAGAGAUUGGGAGGAACACCAGUGGCGAAGGCGACUUACUGGACUGUAACUGACGCUGAGGCGCGAAAGUGUGGGGAGCAAACAGGAUUAGAUACCCUGGUAGUCCACACUGUAAACGAUGAAUGCUAGGUGUUGGAGGGUUUCCGCCCUUCAGUGCUGCAGCUAACGCAUUAAGCACUCCGCCUGGGGAGUACGGCCGCAAGGCUGAAACUCAAAGGAAUUGACGGGG